UCUUGAAAGUUUGUUUUGAGUUGUAAUUGGUUGGCUUUGCAGAGUGAGUAAAGGUUGUUGAGAGAUUCUGUUGUUGUGAGUGUGGCAUUGAGCAAAGAAUUGCUCUUGAGUGAAAAAGAGAUUUGUAAAGAGCAAAAGCUUGCUCUAAGAUUGUAAGGGUUUUAAUCUUCACCCAAAGAAGAUUUGAUAGUGGAGUUGAACUCUCAAGGUGGACCUUGAAGAGAGGACGUAGGCUUGAGAUAGCUGAACCUCUAUAAAUUCUUGUGUUGAUUAUCUUCUUC
rnacentral:lncRNA from 1 species